rnacentral:rRNA from 1 species
UCGAGACCGAUAGCAAACAAGUACCAUGAGGGAAAGAUGAAAAGGACUUUGAAAAGAGAGUUAAAAGUGCCUGAACUUGCUGAAAGGAAAGCGGAUGGAACCAGUUUUGCUUGGUGAGAUUGUCGCACGCAGCAAUGAUCACCUUCUAUUCCAGCGAAAGCGGGGCGGUGGGCUGUGAUUUGUUCGGUGUGAUGUUUCUUGCCUUGUGUGUCAUCAUCAGUUUGGAGGUGGGGACAACUCUUGGGACCUGGUAGCUCGCCCCUGGGUGAGUGAAUGUGCCUUGCGGGACCCACCAACAAACAGUUCAACCUUUGUGGGGCUGCGUUGCUUCGUGUUGCGUGCUCUGGCGAGCUUCACACGCGUGGCACCUUCCUUACAAGCUAAUGUGACGAAA